GCCAAGGUAGCUCAGCAGGUAGAGCAAUGCUUUCGUAAAGCAGAGGUCACGGGUUCGAUUCCCGUCCUUGGCU
rfam:Microgenomates (Levybacteria) bacterium GW2011_GWA2_40_16 TT85_C0001, whole genome shotgun sequence.